AGAUUGAACGCUAGCGGGAUGCUUUACACAUGCAAGUCGAACGGCAGCGCGGACUUCGGUCUGGCGGCGAGUGGCGAACGGGUGAGUAAUAUAUCGGAACGUGCCCAGUAGCGGGGGAUAACUACGCGAAAGCGUGGCUAAUACCGCAUACGCCCUACGGGGGAAAGGGGGGAUCGCAAGACCUCUCACUAUUGGAGCGGCCGAUAUCAGAUUAGCUAGUUGGUGAGGUAAAGGCUCACCAAAGGCGACGAAUCUGUAGCUGGUUUGAGAGGACGACCAGCCACACUGGGACUGAGACACGGCCCAGACU
rnacentral:rRNA from 1 species